rnacentral:rRNA from 1 species
UACGAAGGGGGCUAGCGUUGUUCGGAAUCACUGGGCGUAAAGCGCACGUAGGCGGAUGUUUAAGUCAGGGGUGAAAUGCCGAGGCUCAACCUUGGAACUGCCUUUGAUACUGGGCAUCUGGAGUCCGGGAGAGGUGAGUGGAACUGCGAGUGUAGAGGUGAAAUUCGUAGAUAUUCGCAAGAACACCAGUGGCGAAGGCGGCUCACUGGCCCGGUACUGACGCUGAGGUGCGAAAGCGUGGGGAGCAAACAGGG